rnacentral:rRNA from 1 species
CACGUAGGGGACGAGCGUUGUCCGGAAUCAUUGGGCGUAAAGCGCGUGUAGGCGGCCCGGUAAGUCCGCUGUGAAAGUCGGGGGCUCAACCCUCGAAUGCCGGUGGAUACUGUCGGGCUAGAGUGCGGAAGAGGCGAGUGGAAUUCCUGGUGUAGCGGUGAAAUGCGCAGAUAUCAGGAGGAACACCAAUGGCGAAGGCAGCUCGCUGGGACGUGACUGACGCUGAGACGCGAAAGCGUGGGGAGCAAACAGG